rnacentral:rRNA from 1 species
GGGGAAUAUUGCACAAUGGGCGAAAGCCUGAUGCAGCAACGCCGCGUGAGUGAUGAAGGCCUUCGGGUUGUAAAGCUCUGUCUUCUGGGACGAUAAUGACGGUACCAGAGGAGGAAGCCACGGCUAACUACGUGCCAGCAGCCGCGGUAAUACGUAGGGGCCGAGCGUUGUCCGGAGUUACUGGGCGUAAAGCGCGCGCAGGCGGCUCGUCAAGCCUGACGUGAAAGCCCCCGGCUCAACCGGGGAGGGUCGUCGGGGACUGGCGGGCUUGAGGUCGGCAGGGGUUGGUGGAAUUCCCGGUGUAGUGGUGAAAUGCGUAGAGAUCGGGAGGAACACCCGUGGCGAAGGCGGCCAACUGGGCCGGACCUGACGCUGAGGCGCGAAGGCGUGGGGAGCGAACG